UGGGCGAUUAGCUCAGCUGGUAGAGCAGCUGACUCUUAAUCAGCGGGUCGCAGGUUCGAAUCCUGUAUCGCCCAU
rnacentral:tRNA from 1 species